CCUAGGAGGUCCCACAGAUCUGUGUCUUGCUUCAACAACGUUUGGAUGGAACAGAGCUGGGGACUCCCUCUUUCUUAGCUUCUAGCAACCUUUUAGUCUCUCUAGUUGCUUUGGCUCCUAGGACCAGCCAGCACCAUCUCUUUGUGGUUAGCUCCAUGUUUCGGAUCAGCCAUGACCUCCUAGAUUCAUCAGAAUUACCCCACCAAAGUGCAAGCUGCCGUAAACUGCCUGGUCAACUUGUACCUGCGGGUCUCCUACACCUACCUCUCUCUGGGCUAUUUUGAUCGGGAUGAUGUGGCUCUGGAGGGUGUUGGCCACUUCUUCCCAAACUGGCCAAGGAGAAGCAUGAGGGCACCUCCUCAAGUUGCAGAACAAUCACGGAGGUGCACUUUUCCAGGCUGUGCAGCAGUCAUCUCAAGAUGAGUGGGGUAAAACCCAGGAGGCCAUGGAAGCUGCCUUGGCCCUGGAGAAGAACCUGUGCCAGGCCCCCUGGGGUCUUCAUUUCCUGGGUUCCGCCCACACAGACCCUCACCUUGUAACUUGUUGGAAAACCACUUCCUGGGAGGAGAUGAGAAGAUGGGCAAGCACCUGACCAACCUCUGUAGGACUGGCUGGGCCACAGCCAGCACAGACUGGCAUGCCACAGCCAUGUCUGGGCAGGUAUUUCUUUGAGCAGCUCCCUGUCAAGCAUGACUAGGAGACCUCCCCUUCCAAGUGGGCUCUCUCCUCUGCGCAGCACCAGCCAGACUCAGGACCUCCACCUGAACCUUUCAAGCCAGUAGGCAGCUUGUAACCACCCUG